rnacentral:rRNA from 1 species
CCCUUAGAUGUUCUGGGCCGCACGCGCGCUACACUGAAGGAGGCAGCGUGUACUCCUGGAUCGAAAGAUUUGGGUAACCCGCGAAUCUCCUUCGUGCUAGGGAUUGAGGUUUGCAAUUAUCCUUCAUGAACGAGGAAUUCCCAGUAAGUGCAAGUCAUAAGCUUGCGCUGACUACGUCCCUGCCCUUUGUACACACCGCCCGUCGCUACUACCGAUUGAAUGAUUUAGUGAGGACUUCGGACUGGGACCGAUGCGGCUUUCGGGCUGCGUCGGUAUUCUGGAAAGAUGUCCAAACUGUAUCAUUUAGAGGAAGUAAAANUCGUANCA